UACGGAGGGUGCAAGCGUUGUCCGGAAUCACUGGGCGUAAAGAGCGUGUAGGCGGCUUGGUAAGUCCGCUGUGAAAGUCCAGGGCUCAACCCUGGAAAGCCGGUGGAAACUGUCAAGCUUGAGUCCGGAAGAGGCGAGUGGAAUUCCUGGUGUAGCGGUGAAAUGCGCAGAUAUCAGGAGGAACACCAAUGGCGAAGGCAGCUCGCUGGGACGGUACUGACGCUGAGACGCGAAAGCGUGGGGAGCAAACAGG
rnacentral:rRNA from 1 species